CGUUGUAUUUGCAUAAUCGGAAACGAUCAAGUGUUUUAGUUGUGGUGCAGAGGGGCACCUGAUUUGCUCCUGUCCGGAGAAGGAAGGAGCACAGCGGCCUGCUGCCAGGGGGGAGUCCACCCACUGCUGCAGCUGCUGCUGGGGGCAAUCCGCCCGCUGCUGUGGCUGCUGCUGCCGGGGGGAGUCCGGCCACUGCUGCGGCCGCAGUAGCGGCCGCUGCUGCGAGAUGGGUAUUGC